UCAGGAUGAACGCUGGCGGCGUGCUUAACACAUGCAAGUCGAACGAAGCAACUUAUUACGAUCCCUUCGGGGUGACGAUUUGUUGACUGAGUGGCGGACGGGUGAGUAACGCGUGGGUAACCUACCUUGUACAGGGGGACAACAGUUGGAAACGACUGCUAAUACCGCAUAAGCGCACAGCUUCGCAUGAAGCGGUGUGAAAAGUUUUUUCGGUACAAGAUGGACCCGCGUCUGAUUAGCUAGUUGGUGAGGUAACGGCCCACCAAGGCGACGAUCAGUAGCCGACCUGAGAGGGUGACCGGCCACAUUGGGACUGAGACACGGCCCAAACUCCUACGGGAGGCAGCAGUGGGGAAUAUUGCACAAUGGGCGAAAGCCUGAUGCAGCGACGCCGCGUGAGCGAAGAAGUAUUUCGGUAUGUAAAGCUCUAUCAGCAGGGAAGAUAAUGACGGUACCUGACUAAGAAGCACCGGCUAAAUACGUGCCAGCAGCCGCGGUAAUACGUAUGGUGCAAGCGUUAUCCGGAUUUACUGGGUGUAAAGGGAGCGUAGGCGGUUUUACAAGUCUGAUGUGAAAGCCCGGGGCUCAACUCCGGUAUUGCAUUGGAAACUGUAGAACUAGAGUGUCGGAGGGGUAAGUGGAAUUCCUAGUGUAGCGGUGAAAUGCGUAGAUAUUAGGAGGAACACCAGUGGCGAAGGCGGCUUACUGGACGA
rnacentral:rRNA from 1 species